rnacentral:rRNA from 1 species
UGGGCGUAGCGCAGCGCAGGCGGUUUCUUAAGUCUGAUGUGAAAGCCCACGGCUCAACCGGGGAGGGUCAUUGGAAACUGGAAAACUUGAGUGCAGAAGAGGAAAGUGGAAUUCCAUGUGUAGCGGUGAAAUGCGCAGAUAUAUGGAGGAACACCAGUGGCGAAGGCGACUUUCUGGUCUGUAACUGACGCUGAUGUGCGAAAGCGUGGGGAUCAAACAGGAUUAGAUACCC